CCCUUAGAUGUCCUGGGCCGCACGCGCGCUACACUGAUGCAUGCAACGAGUUUAUAACCUUGGCCUGAAAGGUCUGGGUAAUCUUUUGAACGUGCAUCGUGAUAGGGAUAGAUUAUUGCAAUUGCUAAUCUUGAACGAGGAAUUCCUAGUAAACGCGAGUCAUCAGCUCGCGUUGAUUACGUCCCUGCCCUUUGUACACACCGCCCGUCGCUACUACCGAUUGGACGGUUUAGCGAGGCCCUCGGAUCGGUACCAGGACUCCGUCAGGAGUGACUGGCAACCGAGAAGGCGGUCGAACUUGACCGUCUAGAGGAAGUAAAAGUCGUAACA
rnacentral:rRNA from 1 species